UCCUCCUUAGCUCAGCUGGUUAGAGCAUCUGACUGUUAAUCAGAGGGUCGCUGGUUCAAGUCCAGCAGGAGGAG
rnacentral:tRNA from 4 species